GACGAACGCUGGCGGCGUGCCUAAUACAUGCAAGUCGAGCGGAGCUUAUCCUUCGGGGUAAGCUUAGCGGCGGACGGGUGAGUAACACGUACGCAACCGACCCUGUAGACUGGGAUAACUACCGGAAACGGUAGCUAAUACCGGAUAAUUCCUUUCUUCUCCUGAAGAAAGGAUGAAAGGCGGAGCAAUCCGCUACUAGAGGAUGGCCCUGCGGCGCAUUAGCUAGUUGGGGGGGUAACGGCCCACCAAGGCGACGAGGCGUAGCCGACCUGAGAGGGUGAGCGGCCACACUGGGACUGAGACACGGACCAGACUCCUACGGGAGGCAGCAGUAGGGAAUCUUCCGCAAUGGGCGAAAGCCUGACGGAGCAACGCCGCGUGAGUGAUGAAGGUUUUCGGAUCGUAAAGCUCUGUUGCCAGGGAAGAACGUCCGGUAGAGUAACUGCUACCGGAGUGACGGUACCGAGAAGAAAGCCCCGGCUAACUACGUGCCAGCCGCCGCAGUAA
rnacentral:rRNA from 1 species